UAUUGACACAUGUAACAAUUUUUAAUGCGUAAAAAAAUACCGGAUGAAUAGGAUCGUCCUAACGAUGUAUGAAUUAUUCUCACAUGGGUAUGAGAAUGUUAUGCUCGUAGAUGUACAAUAGUGCUGAAAAUAUGAAAUUCCCUCUUUCGUUAGAAAGCUCUCUAGCAUUGAGUGCAUCGCAAACAAAUGAAGAUUUUCCUAGACGUAUUAUUCUCAAUAUUAUUUUAUUUUAUGCGUAUAGGUCAACCGUCGGUUGUUGAUCAAAGACAAAAAGGCGAAAACAGUUUUUUCAAAGAGAAAGGAGUUUGGUUAGUGGCUGGUGGCUGUGUACUACUGUGUCUUGUUGUAGCUCUUUUACUUUUAUGGUUAAGAAGGAAUGCUAUAUGGAAAUAAACCGUUCAGUUAGCUAAAAUGUAUUCGCAAGUAUAACGAACGUGAACUCCUGCUACUAUAUAUGUUAAUUUCAGGACAAUCGUUAUUAUAAACACACACACACACACACACACACACACACACACACACACACACUGUUGUUGUUUUUUAUAUAUAUAUAUAUAUAUA
rnacentral:lncRNA from 1 species